rnacentral:rRNA from 1 species
AAAUUGAAGAGUUUGAUCAUGGCUCAGAUUGAACGCUGGCGGCAGGCCUAACACAUGCAAGUCGAACGGUAGCACAGAGAGCUUGCUCUCGGGUGACGAGUGGCGGACGGGUGAGUAAUGUCUGGGAAACUGCCCGAUGGAGGGGGAUAACUACUGGAAACGGUAGCUAAUACCGCAUAACGUCGCAAGACCAAAGUGGGGGACCUUCGGGCCUCACACCAUCGGAUGUGCCCAGAUGGGAUUAGCUAGUAGGUGGGGUAACGGCUCACCUAGGCGACGAUCCCUAGCUGGUCUGAGAGGAUGACCAGCCACACUGGAACUGAGACACGGUCCAGACUCCUACGGGAGGCAGCAGUGGGGAAUAUUGCACAAUGGGCGCAAGCCUGAUGCAGCCAUGCCGCGUGUAUGAAGAAGGCCUUCGGGUUGUAAAGUACUUUCAGCGAGGAGGAAGGCGUUGUGGUUAAUAACCACAGCGAUUGACGUUACUCGCAGAAGAAGCACCGGCUAACUCCGUGCCAGCAGCCGCGGUAAUACGGAGGGUGCAAGCGUUAAUCGGAAUUACUGGGCGUAAAGCGCACGCAGGCGGUUUGUUAAGUCAGAUGUGAAAUCCCCGGGCUCAACCUGGGAACUGCAUUUGAAACUGGCAAGCUUGAGUCUCGUAGAGGGGGGUAGAAUUCCAGGUGUAGCGGUGAAAUGCGUAGAGAUCUGGAGGAAUACCGGUGGCGAAGGCGGCCCCCUGGACAAAGACUGACGCUCAGGUGCGAAAGCGUGGGGAGCAAACAGGAUUAGAUACCCUGGUAGUCCACGCCGUAAACGAUGUCUACUUGGAGGUUGUGCCCUUGAGGCGUGGCUUCCGGAGCUAACGCGUUAAGUAGACCGCCUGGGGAGUACGGCCGCAAGGUUAAAACUCAAAUGAAUUGACGGGGGCCCGCACAAGCGGUGGAGCAUGUGGUUUAAUUCGAUGCAACGCGAAGAACCUUACCUGGUCUUGACAUCCACGGAAGUUUUCAGAGAUGAGAAUGUGCCUUCGGGAACCGUGAGACAGGUGCUGCAUGGCUGUCGUCAGCUCGUGUUGUGAAAUGUUGGGUUAAGUCCCG